GAUGAAGAACGUAGCGAAAUGCGAUACUUGGUGUGAAUUGCAGAAUCCCGUGAACCAUCGAGUCUUUGAACGCAAGUUGCGCCCGAAGCCACUAGGCCGAGGGCACGCCUGCCUAGGCGUCACACGUCGUUGCCCCCCCAUCUACUCCUUCGGGAUUGCGGGGGGGCGGAUGAUGGCCUCCCGUGCGCCUAGCCGCGCGGUUGGCAUAAAUACCAAGUCCUCGGCGACGCACGCCACGACAAUCGGUGGUUGCGAAACCUCGGUUGCCCGUCGUGUGCGUUCGUCGCGCAUCGAGGGCUCGAAAAAAUGCUCGGCUCCGGCUGGGCUUUCAACGCGACCCCAGGUCAGGCGGGGUUACCCGCUGAAUUUAAGCAUAUCAAUAAGCGGAGGA
rnacentral:misc_RNA from 1 species